GAAAAUAAUUUUUUAUAAGAUAGGAAUGAACAUUGUACUGGUGAAUUCCUUGGGAUGAAGAACUCCCAUGUGGGGAAGCCAUCUACCGAUGAGGAGGCUAGAGAGGUUGUGCCUUGAUUAACAUCAUACGAAUAUUUACCUAUAGGAUGACUCAUAUUAGCUUAAGAUUGGAAUUCUGAGAGUGGAAGGCAAAGAAGAAAGACAGAAGCUUGAGUAAACAUAUCCACUG
rnacentral:lncRNA from 1 species